CCAGACUCCUACGGGAGGCAGCAGUGGGGAAUAUUGGGCAGUGGGCGCAAGCCUGACCCAGCAACGCCGCGUGAAGGAAGAAGGCUUUCGGGUUGUAAACUUCUUUUCUUGGGGACGAAGAAAGUGACGGUACCCAAGGAAUAAGCCACGGCUAACUACGUGCCAGCAGCCGCGGUAAUACGUAGGUGGCAAGCGUUAUCCGGAUUUAUUGGGUGUAAAGGGCGUGUAGGCGGGAAUGCAAGUCAGAUGUGAAAACUAUGGGCUCAACCCAUAGCCUGCAUUUGAAACUGUAUUUCUUGAGUGCUGGAGAGGCAAUCGGAAUUCCGUGUGUAGCGGUGAAAUGCGUAGAUAUACGGAGGAACACCAGUGGCGAAGGUGGAUUGCUGGACAGUAACUGACGCUGAGGCACGAAGGCCAGGGGAGCGAAAGGGAUUAGAUACCCCUGUAU
rnacentral:rRNA from 1 species